rnacentral:rRNA from 1 species
AGAGUAACGGAGGCUUCUAAAGGUGCCCUCAGCACGAAUGGUAACCGUGCGUAGAGUGUAAUGGUAUAAGGGCGCUUGACUGUGAGACCGACAAGUCGACCAGGUACGAAAGUAGAGCAUAGUGAUCCGGUGGUUCCGUAUGGAAGGGCCAUCGCUCAAAGGAUAAAAGGUACGCCGGGGAUAACAGGCUNNNCCUAUCUGUUGUGGGCGUUGGAAAAUUGAGAGGAUCUGACAUUAGUACGAGAGGACCGUGUUGGACAAACCUCUAGUGUACCUGUUGUGGCGCCAGCUGCAUCGCAGGGUAGCUACGUUUGGACGAGAUAAGCACUGAAAGCAUCUAAGUGCGAAGCUUCCCUCAAGAUGAAUUUUCCUUUAAGGGUCGUUAAAGACUAUGACGUUGAUAGGCCAUAGGUGUAAAGGCAGUAAUGUCAAAGCCGAGUGGUACUAAUUACCCGUAAGCUUCUCUU